CAAAAACGCGGGCCAAGCCAGUACUGAAGCACCUGCAUGAAUUCAGUUGCCGCGCUUACGAUGCUUCGUGUAUACUUCGCUGUGAUAUCUGAACUCGUAGGUAUGCGUGAACUUGUGAUAAACAUGAAGACAGGCUGAUAUGAGGGUGCGUGAGCAAUCAUGCAAGAAGCAGAUACGGAUAUAUGCUGCCAAAGAAAAGGGGCAACAUAUAAAAUAACAAUAAUGGGAUUCGCGAUGGAGUUCGAUCGCGAUGAAAUAACGCAAAACAACGUGUUCUUCGGGUUUUUCAUUUGGUAUUUUAAAUGAAUAUUCAGGAGACAAUCGCUUGAAGAUACGAAAUGGAUGAUAUUCAUUUGGACUAUUUAGUGGAUUAUUUUUUAUUAGACUAACAUCACUUUUUAAACGAACUGGGCUAUUCAGUGUAUCGUAUUCUGUAAAAACCAUUUAAAACUUCCCUGUUUAUUUGUUUAGAUAUAUAAUUUGUUCGUGACUCACAAAAAUGUUGUACGUAUAAAUAAUAUAUCUUCAACUAUGAAGCUAAGUUUAGGUGAAAGUAAAUUCUGGCUGUUUAAGAAAUGAUAGAGUUUUUGAAAAGAAGGAACUAAAAUCUAGAAGGUAAGAUUCAAAACGUUGCAAGGAAUAUUAUUUACAAAAUUUACAUUGAUUCCUUUAACAUCCAUAAGUAACGGAAGAUAAAGGUAAUUUAUGUCCAAGACUGUCAGUGUCGUUAUAUCUACGCAUUAUACAAUCUCCUAUUUUCUACAUUUGUUUUAUCAUCGUGUGUCUUUAUCAUCGUCAAAUCUACCUCAUAUAAAUCAUUCUAAAAGAGCGUAAUACAACGAUACAAUUUUACGCUAUGCUUUCGCUAUUCACAUAUUGUAAAGGGAAACACGAUCAACAAUUUACAAUUUUACACGUGUACAAAUAAGACGUGUAAUAUAUGAUAAUUAUUAUAUAAACAAAUAUUACAGUGAUCGACAGAGGUAAGUGCCUCCCUCGUGCCCGUGUCAUCACGAUAAUCAACUUCUCAUCUCUUUUCUAUAUCAGUAAGUGUGAAUGUAUACGCUUUUCAUCAGUCGGAGGAGAAGUAGCAACCUACUCGAAGUCAUGCUAUUCUAGUACAAAGACGACUAUUCGUAGAUGACACGCGCAGUUGGCGCGCAUGGAAGCACGAAUUACACGCGGCAACGACGUGACGCACCACCAAUUACUGUGAAGGCGCCAUUUUUACAUAACAGAUUGUUAGAAACGGACCAGAAAGUAUGGAGGGGAGAAAGAGAGGAUGCUAUCCGCCUACAACCGUAUAAGGAGCCCGCGCAUCUACUAGGAGAGUACGCGAUCCAGAUAGGUUAUGCCUUGCUCUCUUAUUUUCCUGAGCUCCUGGUACUAGCGUCACGUGUUUCUAGACGUCAAUCUGCCAGUGUAUCACGCUAUAAACAGACAUCUACGUACUUCAUGCAAGCCUGGUAAUUGGAAGUUGUGAUUAGAAUGCACGUGGCCUUGCGGAAUCUCUAUUGACACAAUCGUCAAUAAUACUUCUGAUACCCUAUACCCGUAAGAACUUUUGAAGCAAGCAAAUAAUUUAAAUUCAAAUUGUAUUCUUUAUAUAAGGCGUAAUCUGAAUAUUGUACGAGACUCCUGACGCAUAGGUAUCGAUUUUGUCAGUAUUUCAUUAAAUUUGUAUAAUUUCAAUGCUAUAUGGUAUAAGUUGUGAAAAGAUUUUUCAAAAUUCCUUUUCUUAUGUAUUAAUUACUCUUAGAAAAUUGCAUUACUAGUUCAUAUCGGAGGACACCGGAGUAUCUUCUUACGUUUGUUGUAAUAGUCAAUUGUUGAUAUCUAUAUGUAAGUAUAAAUUACAUUUUACGAAUGUGCUACAUGAUAUUUAUAUUUGGAAAUUACUCUACUUUAAUAAUAAUAAAUAACAUAACAAUAGAUUGAAAUUAAAGAAUAAUAAAUUAAUCUUCGUAU